UACGGGGGGAGCAAGCGUUGUUCGGAUUUACUGGGCGUAAAGGGCGCGUAGGCGGCACCGCAAGUCGACUGUGAAAUCUCCGGGCUUAACCCGGAAAGGUCAACCGAUACUGCGGGGCUAGAGUGCAGAAGGGGCAACUGGAAUUCUCGGUGUAGCGGUGAAAUGCGUAGAUAUCGAGAGGAACACCUGCGGCGAAGGCGGGUUGCUGGGCUGACACUGACGCUGAUGCGCGAAAGCUAGGGGAGCGAACGGG
rnacentral:rRNA from 1 species